rnacentral:tRNA from 1 species
GGGGUUGUGGCUCAAGUGGAAAGGUGCUCGCCUGGCAUGCGGGGGCGCUGAGUUCAAUCCUCAGCACCACA